CCACAGGGGGUUACCUUUCACAAUCAGCCUCCCAAUACAAAUGGUGUUGUAAAAAUCUUUGAUUCGUGCAAACAACUGAACAAAAUCAAGACUUUAGAAAUGAACUGUUUGGGUAACCCCCUUAGUGGUUCUAUGCCAUCUGAGACACCUAACUUAAUAUUCACUCAAUCCUUGGGCUUGUUGUGCCUGCUGGUUAACACACCUAACACAAUGGACACUGAUGUAGCACUAAUGCUAUAAUGCUAAUAUUGUGUGUUUUGGGGAUGUAAUGAAGCACUAAUAACCCAACAGCCACUUCUUAACACUGUGACACAGACCUGUGUUUGUGACUGUCACCCUAGUGCCUUGUUGUGCCAGGAGACUGUCACCGAACGGAACUCAGUCACAUGUUGUGGUCUGGUUGAGUCACAAAGAUACACACUGACACAAUCGAUUAACUUUGAGUUCUCACACAACACACUUUCUCAUUGCAUUUUAUUAUUCAUACAUCAUAUCUGUGCAAAAAUUGGUUUGGUUAUGUAUAGUAGCCUAGCAAGCCAGGUUUGGUUAUGUAUAGUAGCCUAGCAAGCCAGGUUUGGUUAUGUAUAGUAGCCUAGCAAGCCAGGUUUGGUUACGUAUAGUAGCCUAGCAAGCCAGGUUUGGUUACGUAUAGUAGCCUAGCAAGCCAGGUUUGGUUACGUAUAGUAGCCUAGCAAGCCAGGAUUGGUUAUGUAUAGUAGCCUAGCAAGCCAGGUUUGGUUACGUAUAGUAGCCUAGCAAGCCAGGUUUGGUUACGUAUAGUAGCCUAGCAAGCCAGGUUUGGUUACGUAUAGUAGCCUAGCAAGCCAGGAUUGGUUAUGUAUAGUAGCCUAGCAAGCCAGGUUUGGUUACAUAUAGUAGCCUAGCAAGCCAGGUUUGGUUACAUAUAGUAGCCUAGCAAGCCAGGUUUGGUUAUGUAUAGUAGCCUAGCAAGCCAUGUUUGGUUACGUAUAGUAGCCUAGCAAGCCAGGAUUGGUUAUGUAUAGUAGCCUAGCAAGCCAGGUUUGGUUACAUAUAGUAGCCUAGCAAGCCAGGUUUGGUUAUGUAUAGUAGCCUAGCAAGCCAGGUUUGGUUACGUAUAGUAGCCUAGCAAGCCAGGAUUGGUUAUGUAUAGUAGCCUAGCAAGCCAGGUUUGGUUAUGUAUAGUAGCCUAGCAAGCCAGGUUUGGUUACGUAUAGUAGCCUAGCAAGCCAGGUUUGGUUACGUAUAGUAGCCUAGCAAGCCAGGUUUGGUUACGUAUAGUAGCCUAGCAAGCCAGGUUUGGUUAUGUAUAGUAGCCUAGCAAGCCAGGUUUGGUUAUGUAUAGUAGCCUAGCAAGCCAGGUUUGGUUACGUAUAGUAGCCUAGCAAGCCAGGAUUGGUUAUGUAUAGUAGCCUAGCAAGCCAGGUUUGGUUACGUAUAGUAGCCUAGCAAGCCAGGUUUAGUUACAUAUAGUAGCCUAGCAAGCCAUGUUUGGUUACGUAUAGUAGCCUAGCAAGCCAGGAUUGGUUAGGUAUAGUAGCCUGGCAAGCCAGGUUUGGUUACGUAUAGUAGCCUAGCAAGCCAUGUUUGGUUACGUAUAGUAGCCUAGCAAGCCAGGAUUGGUUAUGUAUAGUAGCCUAGCAAGCCAGGUUUGGUUAUGUAUAGUAGCCUAGCAAGCCAGGUUUGGUUACGUAUAGUAGCCUAGCAAGCCAGGAUUGGUUACGUAUAGUAGCCUAGCAAGCCAGGAUUGGUUAUGUAUAGUAGCCUAGCAAGCCAGGAUUGGUUAUGUAUAGUAGCCUAGCAAGCCAGGUUUGGUUACGUAUAGUAGCCUAGCAAGCCAGGAUUGGUUAUGUAUAGUAGCCUAGCAAGCCAGGUUUGGUUAUGUAUAGUAGCCUAGCAAGCCAGGUUUGGUUACGUAUAGUAGCCUAGCAAGCCAGGUUUGGUUACGUAUAGUAGCCUAGCAAGCCAGGUUUGGUUAUAUAUAGUAGCCUAGCAAGCCAGGAUUGGUUAUAGUAGCCUAGAAAGCCAGGUUUAGUUACGUAUAGUAGCCUAGCAAGCCAGGUUUGGUUACGUAUAGUAGCCUAGCAAGCCAGGAUUGGUUACGUAUAGUAGCCUAGCAAGCCAGGAUUGGUUAUGUAUAGUAGCCUAGCAAGCCAUGUUUGGUUACGUAUAGUAGCCUAGCAAGCCAGGUUUAGUAACAUAUAGUAGCCUAGCAAGCCAGGUUUGGUUAUGUAUAGUAGCCUAGCAAGCCAGGUUUGGUUACGUAUAGUAGCCUAGCAAGCCAGGAUUGGUUAUGUAUAGUAGCCUAGCAAGCCAGGUUUGGUUAUGUAUAGUAGCCUAGCAAGCCAGGUUUGGUUACGUAUAGUAGCCUAGCAAGCCAGGUUUGGUUACGUAUAGUAGCCUAGCAAGCCAGGUUUGGUUAUAUAUAGUAGCCUAGCAAGCCAGGAUUGGUUAUGUAUAGUAGCCUAGCAAGCCAUGUUUGGUUACGUAUAGUAGCCUAGCAAGCCAGGUUUGGUUACAUAUAGUAGUCUAGCAAGCCAGGUUUGACAGAAUGUGUAAUCAGUGGAGGAUGGGUACAGUAGGUUUAGCGUCUGUGUUGACCUGACAACUGUACAGUGCCUUUAAACCUGUCAGAACACCCACCACCACUAUGGCCCCAUUUCUUAAUCCCUGUU